rnacentral:rRNA from 1 species
UACGGGGGGAGCAAGCGUUGUUCGGAUUUACUGGGCGUAAAGGGCGCGUAGGCGGUCAGCACAAGUCAGUUGUGAAAUCUCCGGGCUUAACUCGGAAAGGUCAACUGAUACUGUGCGACUAGAGUGCAGAAGGGGCAACUGGAAUUCUCGGUGUAGCGGUGAAAUGCGUAGAUAUCGAGAGGAACGCCUGCGGCGAAGGCGCUCUACUGGGCCACAACUGACGCUGAGGGACGAAAGCUAGGGGAGCGAAAGGG